rnacentral:rRNA from 1 species
UACGGAGGGUGCUAGCGUUGUUCGGAAUUAUUGGGCGUAAAGAGCGCGCAGGCGGCCAAGUCAGUCGAAUGUGAAAGCCCCCGGCUUAACUGGGGAGGGUCAUUCGAUACUGCUCGGCUCGAAGACAGGAGAGGGAAGUGGAAUUCCCGGUGUAGUGGUGAAAUGCGUAGAUAUCGGGAGGAACACCAGUGGCGAAGGCGACUUUCUGGCCUGUUCUUGACGCUGAGGCGCGAAAGCUAGGGGAGCGAACGGG